AUUGAACGCUGGCGGCAGGCCUAACACAUGCAAGUCGAGCGAGCGGCGGACGGGUGAGUAAUGUGUGGGGAUCUGCCCGAUAGGGGGGGAGAACUACUGGAGACGCUGGCUAAUACCGCGUACUGUUGGAUGUAACCCUAUGGGAUUAGCUAGUGUGUAAGGUAAAGGCUUACCAAGGCGACGAUCCCUAGCUGGGCUGAGAGGAUGAUCAGCCACACUGGAACUGAGACACGGUCCAGACUCCUACGGGAGGCAGCAGUGGGGAAUAUUGCACAAUGGGCGAAAGCCUGAUGCAGCCAUGCCGCGUGUAUGAAGAAGGCCUUCGGAUUGUAAAGUACUUUCAGUCGGGAGGCGUUACCGACAGAAGAAGCACCGGCUAACUCCGUGCCAGCAGCCGCGGUAAUUC
rnacentral:rRNA from 1 species